AAUAAGUGCAGUUUUACACUAUUCGCGUUCAACGUUUGACUCUUAUUAGAAACUGAUAAAACAUGAAUAGUACUUUAUGUGUGACUAAUUUUUUUAAUUUUUUCAUAAAUUUUUCAAAUAAGACGGACGGUCAAACGUUGGACACGGAUAUCCACAACUGCACUUGUU
rfam:Oryza sativa Japonica Group DNA, chromosome 12, cultivar: Nipponbare, complete sequence.